rnacentral:rRNA from 1 species
CCUACGGGUGGCAGCAGUGGGGAAUAUUGCACAAUGGGGGAAACCCUGAUGCAGCGACGCCGCGUGAGUGAAGAAGUAUUUCGGUACGUAAAGCUCUAUCAGCAGGGAAGAAAAUGACGGUACCUGACUAAGACGCCCCGGCUAACUACGUGCCAGCAGCCGCGGGAAUACGUAGGGGGCAAGCGUUAUCCGGAUUUACUGGGGGUAAAGGGAGCGUAGACGGCAGCGCAAGUCUGGAGUGAAAUCCCAUGGCUUAACCAUGGAACUGCUUUGGAAACUGUGCAGCUAGAGUGCAGGAGAGGUAAGCGGAAUUCCUAGUGUAGCGGUGAAAUGCGUAGAUAUUAGGAGGAACACCAGUGGCGAAGGCGGCUUACUGGACUGUAACUGACGUUGAGGCUCGAAAGCGUGGGGAGCAAACAGGAUUAGAUACCCUUGUAGUC